rnacentral:rRNA from 1 species
AUUGAACGCUGGCGGCAGGCCUAACACAUGCAAGUCGAGCGAGCGGCGGACGGGUGAGUAAUGUAUGGGGACUGCCCGAUCGAGGGGGAUAACUACUGGAAACGGUGGCUAAUACCACAUACUAUCGGAUAACCCAUAUGGGAUUAGCUAGUAGGUGGGGUAAAGGCUCACCUAGGCGACGAUCUCUAGCUGGUCUGAGAGGAUGAUCAGCCACACGGGGACGGCGACCCGGCCCAGACUCCUACGGAGGCCGCAGUGGGGAAUAUUUCACAAUGGGCGCAAGCCUUAUGCAGCCAUGCCGCGUGUAUGAAUAAGGCCUUAAGGUUGUAAAGGUCUUUCAGCGGGGAGGCGGUAACCGGAGAAGAAGCACCGGCUAAAUCCGGGCCAGCAGCCGCGGUAAUUG